rnacentral:rRNA from 1 species
GAUGAACGCUAGCUACAGGCUUAACACAUGCAAGUCGAGGGACCGGCGCACGGGUGAGUAACACGUAUCCACCCUGCCCUUUACUCGGGGAUAGCCUUUCGAAAGAAAGAUUAAUACCCGAUAUAAAGGAUGGGGAUGCGUUCGAUUAGGUUGUUGGUGAGGUAACGGCGCACCAAGCCUUCGAUGGAUAGGGGUUCUGUGAGGAAGGUCCCCGACAUUGGAACUGGGACGCGGUCCAAACGACUACUGGAGGAAGCAGUGAGGUACAUGGGUCAAUGGGCGGUAGCCUGAACCAGCCAAGUAGCGUGAAGGAUGGAGGCUUAUGGGUCGUAAACUUCUUUUAUAUAAGAAUAUGUAUUAUAUGAAUAAGGAUCGGCUAACUCCGUGCCAGCAGCCGCGGUAAUAC